UAUAAGUUGCAGUGGCAUAAAAGGAAGAAAACAAAACUAGUCCUAACUGGAGAGGCAACAGUUGCUUGUUCACUGGGUGGGCCAAACUGCAAAAUGAACAAAAGUGGAGUCAGAAAGCAAAACAAUCUGAUAGAAUUUGAGAAACCUCAAGAAAAUCAGUAUCUAGGCUCUAAAAUGGUAGAGUACAAAUUGUGACAAAGGAGAGUACCAAGAAAUAAAGACUAUAGACGUAGGUAGGAGGUAGGAGCUACCUAUCUCGACCACAGAGCAGUGUAAGCAUUAGGAAGCCAGGUUUAUAGUUGAGACAGAUCUGUCUGGCAACAAUGUAAAAUGGAUUAGGGGAAGGGGGUGAGAAAGAUGGUUGUCAGAGAGACCAGUAUAGGUGACCGGUUAUGAAAACUUAAAUUAAGGCAACAGUGCAAUGGAGAUAGAAAGGCAGGAAUGUUAGAUGUAGUAAGCAGAUGACAGAACUGAUAACACUCAAUCAUCAUCAACUGGAGUGAGGGGCAGGGAUUGGGCACAGGUGCCAGAUGAAGGAAAAAGCAGAGUGGAGAAUAAAAUCUGGGUUCAAGUGACAGGUGAAUGGUGGUGUUACUCAUUGAGAAGAGGAACAGUUCAGGGAGGGAAGGAAAGUGUGUUCUGGUUUUGAAUGUGUAGAGUCUGUGAUGCAUUCGAAACAGCCAAUUCUAAUAUACAUGGGAAUAUAAUCUGCAACCCUGAGGAGAUAAACGCCUGGGUAAAGGAGAUAAAUGUCUAGGUGAAAGGUAUGGCAGUAACAGAAACAAUAGGAGUGGAUAAGAUCACUCAGAUAAAGUACUGAAUAAAAAGAAACAGACUAAAAACCAGUAACAAAAGGCUUCUGGGGAUACCAAUAAUUAAGUGACAGAGAAGUCCACAGAAGACAGAGGCUGAGCAGUCAUAAAGGCAGAAGCAGAACCUAGAGAAUGAUGUCAUGGAAACCAAGGUAACACAGUUUUCAGAAGGACAGAGUGAGCAAAUGGAGUCAUUAAUAGACCGGUUUUUCACAAAUCAACUGGCUGGUAAAAUUUUCACAAUGCCAAAUGUAAGUAGAUGCAAGCUUUUGCUCAAAUUCCCCUUGUUGGGAAUGGGAAACUGAUUCCUCUGAAAAUGGUGUCUGGAGUGAAGUGUUCUCAUAUUGUGGCUGUGAGGAAAGAAAAAAGGAGGUGUCUGCAUGCCUAAUCCUCCCUGGUCGUGUGACAAGAACCUCAUUUUUUUCUACAACAGUAUAAGACAAGUACUUAGGCAACAGAUGAAGAUCUUCUCAAGAAGACAUUAAAACUACUUUACUCUUCACAAGUCAUCUGCUAAAAAAUUUUUCCCGUGGCUGACAAUUACCUUAAGAAGGUGGUUUUUCUUUCUUUUCUUUUUUUUUUUUUUUUUAACAUUUCUUGGCAUCAAGAAAAAAGAUUAAACAGAAGAAACAACUAUGCAUAAAGAGAAAGGGCAACUGACAACACUAUUUGCUUUUAUAGCACUUUGAACCAUUGGCAGAAUGGACUGCUAAAGUACUUGCCAAAUACUUCCACAAAUAUACACAAAACAAAAUGAGAAUGUAUUAUUCUGUGUUGUAACUCACUUGAUCUAAACCCUUUAGAAAUAAACAAAAAUUGAGCUCUGAAACUGGGAAAACAGGAAUAAAGAAAAAGGAUUCCUUUCCCUGUAAUUAAGAAGAUGCACUAUAUUUAAAAAUUACCAAACCAGCAGCAGUCUAGCUUAUGAUAGUCUUCCUUACUAAACUUACACCCUGAUUCAUAAAAUAGUUAAAAGAGAGAACAAAACCUGACAUCCUACCAAAUGCUGUAGGAUGACUUAAAAGUAAUUUUUUAAACCCAUGUGUAUCUACCUGCCUCUAAACACGACAGUUACGGACACAUUUUACCUUCUAAGGAGAAUGGCUUUUAUAAUGAAGCCAGCAUCUAUACUAUAUUAAAUGAAAUUACAGAAUGGAAUUUGAAGUACCUAGUAAAAUUCAAGAAUAAAAAAAUCAUAUUGUGAAGUCUUAAA